GCCUGUGCUAAUGGCCUGGGGUGGGUAUAAAUGAGGGGCAGCCCCCCCAAACUGGGGGUACCAGUUCUGGGUGAGGCUGGGAUGUGGUAGUGUUGUGUGAGAUGGGGACUAAAGUUUAAUGGGGGCUAAAGUUCUUUGGCCCUAACAGCAAGUUGGGAAGGGUUGGUGGUGCCCUCAAGCUGGUCCGAGGAGAAACUAGUUGUUCUGAGGACGCGGACAACAGCACUGACGGUGUGGUGCCUGCUGUGGCUGUGUAUCAGUAUGGAAAAGCCAAAGCUGCUGGUAAUUUAAGGGAUAGAUGUGUAUGGCCAUGUAGAGAGUUAUGGCUUCUUUAAAGAUGCGGAUACACACCAGCCUUUGGUCUGGCUAAUGGGGAUCUAGCUAUACAAUUGCCAACAGGUUUGCUUUUAGGAAGAAAAGCUCACAGGCAUGUACCAAAGGGGAGCAAGGCACUUUGUGCUCCUGCCUUCUGCAGUGGCGAGGAGGACACCAGAGCUCGUCCCGGGGACGGGGCUGCUCCCUGUGCAGCUAACAGCCAGGAGCAUCAGUGCCAUCGUACCUGCUGCUGCUAAAAUCGAGGAGCUUCAUCCUUUAAUGUCACCAGCAGCCGGAGGGGCUGUCUGUGUGACUGCAGCUUCUGAGGAGCUGGCAAAUGUCAGCCCAUCACAGGGAGCGGGGGUUAAGUUUUAAUCAGCGGGCCAGCAUCCUCUCCUAAUUUAUUUUCCUUCAUUUAGACAGGAUUUGCUGGAUGGCAUGCGAUCCUGUGAAUAUUUAUAAUGAGAAAUUUUUCUUGCUGCUCCUGUGAUUAACUAAUUUGGUGCUUCCCAAGGACGUGCACAGUGAAGGUCAAAGCUGAAAAGGCCCCAUCCUGUCCUGGCACUUUCCUUUGGGCAUCGUCCGAGUGGUACCAGGCAUGACUUCGGCUCAUCUGCAUGCUUGCUAAGAAGGGUUUUUCCUCAUCUAUGCAACACCUCCUUGUUCCGAGUGUGCUUCGUAUCACCACAGCCUCAUCCAAAAUAAUCUCAAGACAGCAGAAAGGCAUUUUAGUGGGCUUAGGUCAGGCCCAGAGUGAGUCAACUGCAGCAAAUGAACUCCCAUUUGCUAAUGCAGUCUUAUAAUAGUCGAGCUGCACACAGGCACUUGGCAAUUGUAGUUAAGUCAUUCAAAAAAAUAAUGAAAAAAUGCAGUUAUUUUUUAAUACUGUAUACUUCAAUUAUGGUAAGAAUAUACUAAAUCUCUGAUUAGAAAUACCUGGCUGAUGCUGGGGAAGAUAUAAUUUACAGCAGAUGACAUGUAGCCAGCUGGUUUCACAGCCUUCCUUACUGCCCAGCAAUGCAAAACCAAAAUAAACCUGGACCAGCUGCUGAAUGAAAGUCCUGCAGUUGCCUUUUGGUGGUAUGUUGAGUAGUCCUCAAUCAGAAACUCAAAGGACAGGUUCUGAUCCUGUAAAACCAAAGGGUUUGUCCCUGUACACCACCUGUAAAACCUUAUUGUGUGGGUUUCCAGGUGACUCCCACAAUUAUUUGAUGAAAUACAGGGAGUUGGUGUUCCCAGACUCUGUAGUGCACAGGCACAGCUGUGGGCACUCGGAUGUUCCUUCUGCGGCCCUAAAAAGCAGCAAAGUGUUUGUGGUGUGCAGGCACAGCUCAGGCAGGGCAACCCAAACCUCACUGACGCAUCACCCAAAAUCAGACCCUGGAGCUCCCUGCUUCCUUCUAGAAAUUUCAGCUUCUCUUGUUGCUGUUGCUGAUUUGCAGCCAUGCUGAUGAAUGGGGAUAUUCACAGCGAGGGAAUCUGCAGCCAGGCUCAAUCGCUGCUGUGAAGCUUGCUCGCAUACCGCGGUUUCUCGUGCCAGCUGUUUGACACUGCAGGGUUUGGAGAAAAGCCUGCACGUGUGAAGCACGCUCCUGGGAGCCUCCACGUCUGCAGCUGUUCUGCAAAUUGCAGCUGGGUGUGCUUCAAGCUUUGCCGGGAUUUGGGGAUAGGAGGUGCAAGUCUGGCUCUAAAACCACUUGGGCUGGAGGUUUAGAGAUGGAAGAACCAUGUUGUAGAUUAAUCUUGGACACGAUUAACACCUGGUGACUUGGCUCCUCUUUCUCAUCCUAGCUCAAUGCAAUGAAGCCACCUCCCUGCAAUGGAUGAGGUUUUAUCCUUGCUUAGGAAAACUGCUGGCUUAUUUCCUGUAGUCAUGCGUUCUGAAGAGAAAGAACACAGUCAAAAAUAUGCAUUGUUGGCCAAAACCAACUGUUUGACUGGGCUAUGUGAGAAUGACCCUGGUUCUGCUGGCCACUUCUCCACAUUUCCCCCUACUCCCUGCAUCUCCUUGGCCUCAUCUGUGAAGGGAGAAAACGAGGCAGAGGCUGGUUUGUGAAGUGGGGGAGGCGGGAGGCAGUUGCUGUUGCCCUCCUCUCCUGCACAUCCUCGCUCACCCGGGCACCACUACCUGUACCCAGGGGCUGUGGGCAAGUUUGUCCAAAACAGCACUUCUUGUGGUAUAAAUGGCAACCGGGUGAGGCUCCUCCUGAAGUUUGAGGGGGGACACAGGGGCUCCCAUGUGCUGGGCUGGACUGCUGCCACCCCAUCCCCUCCCAGCAGCUGCAACAGGCACAGCCCAAAACAUGGUAAACCACAUGGAAAUUCCCUAUUUUCAUCAGUCCUCAAGCCGGAGGUGACAGAGCCAAGAGAGGCUUCAUCAGCUGGAUUUUAGAAAUGGUAAUGAGCCUGCCUUGCUUAUGCAUGCUCAGAAAUGCCUUGUGUUCCUCCUGAAGAGGGCUGUUCAGCUGGCAGAGAGUCCUCCCUGCAGAGAGCAUCGCCCGACAGCGACAAGCUCUGCUACACCAGGCAAAGGAUCUGACCCCAGCUCCCGCAGCCCUGUGGCAUUUAUUUUUGGAGUCUAUCACACCAGUGUGGCAGGAGUUCCCCUCCGGAGCAGCCUCUACGUGCACGGGUGCUGAGCUGGUCACAAGUGGUGUCCAGCCGUGAGCAUCCAGCAGGGAUGAGGGAACCACGCCGAGCAGCCCUGCCUGGGUGCUGUCCUUCAAGGGCUUUUGGUCCUCGUUACGAAGCUGUUCCCAAAGAUGAGCGUAAAGAACCGCAAGCGCCUUCCCCCCUGUCUGUUUGCAUUUGUGGGAUCUGACCUACUUUUUGUUAUUUGUACAUAAGGCACAACAGCAUCCCUUGUUUUUUUUUUUUUUUUUUUGGCUUGCCGAGCCGCUGCAGGAGCGCUCGGUGCCUGAAAGCCUCUGCCAGCUCCAGCAGCGAGCACUGGAGCCUUGCGCUGCAAUAUUCACCGUAGAAAAUCUGCACCCAAGGCAAGGAAGGUGGUUUUGGGGGAAGCUGAUGCCACUGCACACGUGGCGACCUCCCAGUCCUCUACAAGCACCCCAUGGCCACGUAUGGCUGCUUGCCAGUCCCUAGGGAUGCAUCAGCCUCUGAGGGGCGUGCAGUAAUGAAGCCAUUUCUACACUAUGGACUGCAAGGGACACAGCUGGGAGGA